rnacentral:misc_RNA from 1 species
GAAAUGCGAUAAGUAAUGUGAAUUGCAGAAUUCCGUGAAUCAUCGAAUCUUUUAACGCACAUUGCGCCCUCUGGCAUUCCGGGGGGCAUGCCUGUCCGAGCGUCAUUACGCACCCUCAAGCCCGGCUUGUGUGAUGGGCCCCGGCGUCUCGUUCGCGAGACGGGCCCGAAAGGCAGCGGCGGCGUCGACCCGAUGAGCCCGAGCGUAUGGGGACUUCUGUCACACGUUCGCGGUGCGGACCGGCGCCUGCUUUGACUUUUCUGAUUAUCCAGGUUGACCUCGGAUCAGGUAGGGAUACCCGCUGAACUUAAGC